GUAGGUGGCAAGCGUUGUCCGGAAUUAUUGGGGCGUAAAGCGCGCGCAGGCGGUUCUUUAAGUCUGAUGUGAAAGCCCACGGCUCAACCGUGGAGGGUCAUCGGAAACUGGAGAACUUGAGUACAGAAGAGGAAAGCGGAAUUCCACGUGUAGCGGUGAAAUGCGUAGAGAUGUGGAGGAACACCAGUGGCGAAGGCGGCUUUCUGGUCUGUAACUGACGCUGAGGCGCGAAAGCGUGGGGAGCAAACAGGAUUAGAUACCCUGGUAGUCCACGCCGUAAACGAUGAGUGCUAAGUGUUAGGGGGUUUCCGCCCCUUAGUGCUGCAGCUAACGCAUUAAGCACUCCGCCUGGGGAGUACGGCCGCAAAGGCUG
rnacentral:rRNA from 1 species